rnacentral:rRNA from 1 species
AUUGAACGCUGGCGGCAGGCUUAACACAUGCAAGUCGAACGAGUGGCGGACGGGUGAGUAAUGCUUGGGAAUCUAGCUUAUGGAUGGGGAUAACUACGGGAAACUGUAGCUAAUACCGCGUACCAUAGGAUGAGCCCAAGUGGGAUUAGGUAGUUGGUGAGGUAAAGGCUCACCAAGCCGACGAUCUCUAGCUGGUCUGGGAGGAUGACAAGCGACACUGGGACGGAGACACGGCCCAGAAUCCUACCGUAGGGAGGAGUGGGGAGUAUGGCGCAAGGGGCGCAAGCCUGAUGCAGCCAUGCCGCGUGUAGGAAGAAGGCCUUGGGGUUGUAAAGUACUUUCGGUCGGGAAGCGUUACCGAAAGAAGAAGCACCGGCUAACGCCGUGCCAGCAGCCGCGGUAAUUC